rnacentral:rRNA from 1 species
UACGGAGGAUGCAAGCGUUAUCCGGAAUCAUUGGGCGUAAAGCGUCCGCAGGUGGUUAUUCAAGUCUGCUGUCAAAGCCCGGGGCUUAACCUCGGAGAGGCAGUGGAAACUGAAUGGCUAGAGUAUGGUAGGGGUAGAGGGAAUUCCAGGUGUAGCGGUGAAAUGCGUAGAUAUCUGGAAGAACACCAGUGGCGAAGGCGCUCUACUGGGCCAUAACUGACGCUGAGGAGCGAAAGCGUGGGGGAGCGAACAGG